GCAGACCUGGUUAUCAUAAACAGUGAUUUGGAACAGGAGUUUCUCUUAAGCUUCAAUAAGAGAGCCUGGAUUGGUCUGACUGACUCUGUUACUGAGGGGACCUGGAAAUGGGUGGAUGGCACCCCACUGACCACCCCAAGUUACUGGUACUCACAGCAGCCUGAUAAUGGUCGUGACAACCCAAAAUAUGGGGAGGAGGACUGUGUUGAACUGAACACAGAAAGUUGGCUUCCUGUAAAGGCAUGGAAUGACCAGUCAUGUUUACUCAAUCGUUACUGGAUUUGUGAGAAAGUGGUUUAACAUCACCAUGACAACAGAGGAGGCUGGUGGGAGGACGCGCACACAGACAGCACCUUACAGUGCACACAACUUCAUUCUCUCUCUCUCUAAGACACACCAACACACUGUAGGUACUGCACUGAGGGGCAAAACAACCUGAUAAUGGUGGUGUAUCAAGAUGUAACUAGGACU